rnacentral:tRNA from 2 species
AGUUAAAAAGCUAUAGAGUAAGCCCAAUGUCUUGAAAACAUUGUGAAAGAAGUUUAAGUCUUCUAUUAACUU